CUUACCAAUACAGAAGAAAAGAUCUGUCACUUACAUUUCAUUGGACUUUCACAAUGUUCCCAGUCUACAUAAAAGGAUCUGAAGGGGUGGAACCAGAAGAAAAGAAGAGAAAUGCACCUAUGGCGAUGAAGCAACUUAUUAAUAUUCAUGAGGUAUAAGUGUGUGGAUGUGCGCUGGAGGUCGGUUCCCUCGGAUCUUCUCUCGGCACUCUCUUACACCUCCACUCCAGGGGACGCACACCUCUCUGCAAAUUGCCCUAGCAGCUAGUUUCGCACACACAUACUGUACAGAUGCUUUCAACAGCCAGAUUGUGCUCUUGAGUUUAUGUGCACAUUUGUAAACCACAAACCUCUUA